UACGGGGGGGGCAAGCGUUGUUCGGAAUUACUGGGCGUAAAGGGCUCGUAGGCGGCCAACUAAGUCGGAUGUGAAAUCCCCAGGCUUAACCUGGGAACUGCAUCCGAUACUGGCGGGCUUGAAUCCGGGAGAGGGAUGCGGAAUUCCAGGUGUAGCGGUGAAAUGCGUAGAUAUCUGGAGGAACACCGGUGGCGAAGGCGGCAUCCUGGACCGGCAUUGACGCUGAGGCGCGAAAGCUAGGGGAGCAAACGGG
rnacentral:rRNA from 1 species